rnacentral:misc_RNA from 1 species
GAUGAAGAACGCAGCGAAAUGCGAUAAGUAGUGUGAAUUGCAGAAUUCAGUGAAUCAUCGAAUCUUUGAACGCACAUUGCGCCCUUUGGUAUUCCUUAGGGCAUGCCUGUUCGAGCGUCAUUUAAACCUUCAAGCUCAGCUUGGUGUUGGGUGACUGUCCGCCGCCCCCGGGCGCGUGGACUCGCCUCAAAAUUAUUGGCGGCCGGUACAUUGGCUUCGAGCGCAGCAGAAACGCGAACUCGAGCCCGUCGUAUUGGCUCCCAGAAGCUAUCUUCACAAUUUUGACCUCGGAUCAGGUAGGGAUACCCGCUGAACUUAAGCAUAUCAAUAAGCGGAGGA